GACGAACGCUGGCGGCGUGCUUAUCACAUGCAAGUCGAACGAAGUGGCGAACGGGUGAGUAACGCGUAAUCAACCUGCCCUUCAGAGGGGGACAACAGUUGGAAACGACUGCUAAUACCGCAUACUGAAGGAGGGGAUUGAGUCGGAUUAGAUGGUUGGAGGGGUAACGGCCCACCAAGGCGAUGAUCAUGUGCAGGUCGUAGCGGGGGAACGGCAAGAUGGGGACUGGGACAAGGCCCAGACGCCUAGGGGAGGCAGCAGUGGGGAAUCUUCCGCAAUGGACGAAAGUCUGACGGAGCAACGCCGGGUGAGUGAUGACGGCCUUCGGGUUGUAAAGCUCUGUUAAUCGGGACGCGGUACCGGAAUAGAAAGCCACGGCUAACUACGUGCAAGCAGCCGCGGUAAUAC
rnacentral:rRNA from 1 species